UCCCCCACAUAAGUUUCUAAAUCUAUAUAAAAUCACCAUACAGUAAGCAGAAUAAACUUCAAAACAUGUCCCUAGAGGUUAACAAUGUAACUAGCUCUUUACCGGGGUGUGCUGCCUGUGGUCUGUCAAUAGUAGAGAGGCCAGUGGGUAGUGGGGAAAGCGAGUGAGGGUUGUGUCAUGUACGAUGGGCAGGUGAUGGGUAAGUGAGGAGGUGUAUUAUGUCUGAGGUGAAAAAUGUGGGUCGGGAAACUAGGAUAUUUAAAUUAUUCGAUAUAUUAUUUGAUAACAUGGCAACUUUCCCGGCAUUCCUGUGUGUGUGUGUGUGUGUGUGUGUGGAUUGGCUGUGUGUGGGUCAGCAUCUCUUAGUCCUUUUCAGUCCUUUGUGGCGGCAGGAAGUGAGUGGUAUAGCAGCUACGCUACGUACAUUUAAGAGCCUCUGAUUAAAUUGAUACAGGAUUUUAAGUGUUUUUUACGAUUCUAGUGACAUUAACAAGAUUUCUACACUCAAAAGGCUCUGUUUGAAAUGCCACUGGAUUUCACGAGUGUUUUCAAGGUUCAAGUGAAAGAUUAACAGACUGCACUGGUGUUUCGGAUCUCCAAAUCAUCUUAUUACCGGGCCAGACCCAUAAAACAGGAUCACGGAGGAAGGACUACUUCAUCAAGAGGACACAGGCCUUCCCAUGUCUCAGUGUCUGUUUACGAGAGUGGCUGCGUUUCCAGGCACCACCGCAAGGCUGAUGUUCUUCCGUCGUAAUGGCUGUCUCCGCAUCGCUGGCUGAUGCGUUUCCUGAUGUCUUCAGUUAGUACUUCACACCACUGAGGAGCUGGUGUUGGAGUGGGACCCCGUGGUGCCCCUGGACCUGGACCCCACCACAAGACUCCCCGAGCAGGACAUCAUCGGGAGCUACACCUCAGACUGCACCCAGGUGUACUCUACAGGUUUGACAAGUACUGGUGCAGGAAGUACAUGGGUGACCUGUCCGUGGAGGUGCUGCAUGGUGACGUGGUGCAUGGUGACGUGGUGCAUGGUGACGUGGGCAUCUUGGCAAUCCAAAGUUCCACGACCACCACCAUCGCCACCACUACCACCACCACCGCCUUGCCUGUUGUUAUUCUGUUUCAUUUAUCAUUACCAUCAUUGUUGUUGCUGUUCCUGUUACUCUUUUUGUAUUUGUUACGUUCAGUGUUACGUUGCCACUGGUUAUCGUCACAGCGUCUCCACUACUUCUAUCAGCCGUGUUCGGAAAUGCCUCUCCUUCUCACUACGACAAUUUUGAAGUAAAUGUUAUAGUGGAGUACAUUUGAUAGUCUUUUCUUUAGCCUUCCCGGACAGAGAGAGAGAGA